GCCCGGCCCGGUCCAAGCACGUUAUUCUAAUGGGUCGGGCUAGAUCUAAAAAAUGAGCCCAUGGGCCCGGCCCAAGCCCUUUAUAGGCCCGGCCCAGCCCGAGCACGAUAAUUUGAGGCCCACGGCCCGGCCCGCUAUAAAAUAUAUUUUUUUUUCCAUUUCUAAUAUGAAGAUAACAUAUUUAUAAAUAAUAAAUUUAGUUUUGAGUGUGAACAAUAAACUUAUAUACUAAUAAUUAUUUAUUUGAGUAUGAAUUUAGAUUCCUUUAGACUCGUAAGAAGUUUUUGCCUAAAAAUUUAUUAAUUGUGAACAAUAAGUAUUUAUCACUUAUUUCUUUAGUUGUUGACAAAUAAAAAAAUGAUUGAGAGAUUGUGUGAAUUAGUUUUGGUUUGUAAUCGUAUCAUGUAUAAUUAAAAGUUGAGAUUAUGAGAGUAGAAGCGGUGGUAUAGGACAUUCACCUCGACUAUUUUUAAUUUUCGGCACGAAACGGGUCCGACAAGGCCCGUUCAUGGGCUCGGGCCGGCCCGGCCCACCACAGUAUGGGCUUGGGCCAUGGGUUUGGCUUGGCCUUACAUUUGAGUAAAUGGGCCGGCCCAAGCCCGAGCCCGUUAAGAAGUGGCCCGUCAUGGGCCGGCCCAAGCACAGCCCGAAACCCGAUUAGACGGGUCGAGCCGGGCUAGGCUGGCCCGUUUGCCACCUCUACUCUCUAGGAAUAUACAAAGUAUGAUCAUAAUUUUAAACUUCAUAUAAUCAUUCUAAGGACUUUGUUAUAUUAGGUUUUGCCAUUUUUUAUUCAUAGAUGGUACCUAAAACCAGUUCUCUAAGGUGCUUAAAACCGAUUCCCUAAAGCCUCUUAACCAAAUCUAGGAUUUAAUGGCUAUAUCAGAGAUAUAAGCUUUUAGAGAGUAUGAGUUUUUCUAUGAAGAAGACUUAUAUAAUAAAAUAGAAUAAAACUUAAUUUACAUAGUAAGAAAACUUACUUGAAUGGAAAGCCUUCCUCUCUUUCCUAGCUUGUAUUUCACUUGUAUGAAACUUCCUCCCUAUCAAUAAAAAUAGUUACUAGUGUGGUUUCUUUUGUGUAUGGUAUCAGAGCCAUAUAUAUAUAUAUACAUAUAUAUAUAUAUAUAUAUAUAUACAGGCCCGUUCUGAUGCGAACGUCUGCACUAACCUUAAAGUGCGGACGUCCCUCUGUUCGCCACCGUACGGCGCCGGUGAGGGCGCACCUCCACCCCAGCGGACUCCAGCAGUGUCCCCGACCACUUCUCCUCUCCGGUGAGUCCGUUCUUUUCCAGUUUUCCGGCGAGAUCACCCAAAACUUCAAAUAAAGUCGAUCUCGUCGGAAACUGGAAUUCGGCGGACUCGCUGGGGAGGGAAAGUGGUCGGGGACGCUGCUGGAGUCUGCUGGGGUGGAGGCGCGCCCUCGCCGGCGCUGGAGGGUGGAGAACAGAGGGACGUCUGCACUUUAAGUCGAGUGUGGACGUCCGC
rnacentral:lncRNA from 1 species